rnacentral:rRNA from 1 species
AGCUCCAAUAGCGUAUAUUAAAGUUGUUGCGGUUAAAAAGCUCGUAGUUGAACCUUGGGCCUGACCGGCCGGUCCGCCUCACCGCGUGCACUGGUUCGGUUGGGCCUUUCCCUCUGGGGAACCGCAUGUCCUUCACUGGGCGUGUCGGGGAACCAGGACUUUUACUUUGAGGAAAACAGAGUGUUCAAAGCAGGCCUAUGCUCGGAUACGUUAGCAUGGAAUAAUAGAAUAGGACGAAGGUUCUAUUUUGUUGGUUUCUAGGACCGUCGUAAUGAUUAAUAGGGACAGUCGGGGGCAUCAGUAUUCAAUUGUCAGAGGUGAAAUUCUUGGAUUUAUUGAAGACUAACUACUGCGAAAGCAUUUGCCAAGGAUGUUUUCA